UCGUCGGUCGCCGUCGCUUUCUCAGUGGUGGGGCGUGUCGCUGUGCUUCGCUACGCGGAAAGUCUGUGUGUGGAUGGGCUGAGACCCGUGCCUGGCCUGAGACUCGGGCCGGGUCGUCCCCGCGCCCUGCGGCUCUGCAGUCCGCUGGGCACAGGCCUGAGGACAGCUUGUCCCGCCACCGUGGGCGCCUGUGGCCCUGGCUGCAGCGUGAGCGUUCCCAGCCUUCGACUGGCAACCUGGCAGGAGACGAAUAGCAAGGAAAAAGGCCUGGAAAUUAAGCCGGCCCAAGAAGAGGAGCACAUCUGGUGGUCAGGCAAGGCUGGUAGCCUCGGGGAUCGCGGAACGCGCAAGUUCUCCGGGUGUGGGGCGGAGCUGCUAAGAACGUCAGCCCUGGUGUGCAAGAAAUACGUCUCUUAAUUUUCUGGACCUCAGUUCAUUGCUAACUCUUCUGAGCCACAAGCAACUCACCCUUCCCCGCCCCCAUCUGAUGGACUGGUUAAAAAAUAAAGAUUACCCCAGUUCUUUUUGGGUUCCCAUUCCCAGGGUUUAGGCCAAAUUCUGGAAGCUUAUUCAGUGACUUGGUGGGUAAAUUCAUGGUUAAGUAAUUUACCAGGGUGCCAUUGCUAUUAAGUCAGGAUUCAAACCCAGAUCACUCGGACUCCACAGGCUGUUCUCUCAACCAAGAUACUAGAUCUGUCUCUGAAACGUUUAGCCUCAGCCCUGUUUGAAACCAGCUUGGACCACAGUGCCCUGAAGUAUAAAGCACACUGGGCUAGGGGUCAAAAAACAGGGCUAGAAGUCAGCAGGUGACCUAAAACGAGACUCUCCAGGUCUCUGGACUUGAGUUUCCUCUGGAUGAAAUGGGGUUAAUGGCCCAGGGCUAGGGAUUCUGACUGGUCAUUUGCAGGCCACCAUCCAGCCCAUCAUAAUGGUGUUUCCUGGCUGACAGAGACUUUCAAGCAUAGAUGUCACAGCUCCAAGAUGAAGAGGCCUCGUCCUCGCUGGUGUGAAGUUAGAUUCUACGGGAGUGAACUGGUUGGUGUGCAAGGACUGAUGAGAAAUGCUGAUGGUGCAAGGGAGGCGAUUAUGACAUUAAUAGCCCCCACAUCCACUACCUCUCCACCUCCCUUCAAACAAACAUAGACAAGAACUCAAAUUGUGCCACACAGGAAGGUGAGCUGGCCCUUGAGAUGAGCAAAUCUGUAGUCAAAAUGCUACUGAUGACUUUCAGAUCACAUGACACAUGGCUGAGUAGCUACUCCUGGAAUUGUCAACAGUCCAGCUGAAUUGACAUUUUACUUUCCAAAACAAAUGCAGCCAAAAAAGAGCAGCCCUUCCGGCCACUGCUGAAGGCGCGGCUGCCAGCUUCCUAGAAACCCGAGGCAGGUGACGCCCACAAGUGCAGGCUAGGGGGAGUUUUGAGUGAAGUCUGCGGCUAUUCUCUCCCUCUCUUUGGAGCCCUUAGUUGGCAAGUCAGAGCAGAUUCCUGAAGAGUGCUCCGGUGGUAUGCAGACUGAUUUGCAGACUCAAGGGCCUGCCCUCCCCUGAGGUAGGAGGGAGUUUUCUUAAAUUUAAGAUGUAAUCAAAAUGGCUCCUAUUGUAACAGAACCUUGGGUGGAAACAGGCAGCCUGGCUCAGUCACUCAGAAUCAGACAACAGGCUCGGCUUGGGCAUAAUAUCAAUGGCUGCGUUGUUUAUGUAUCUGUAUGUUCAUGUGCAAUUUUACAUCUGCUGCCAAACAGGAGACAGAGGUUUUAUACUGCUUCAAUUUGGACAUUUUCACCGAAAACUCUGAAACUUUCAGAAGGGAAAUUGUUUCCAUUUAAAGCCAAUUUGCCCCAAUCUUGCCGAACCCCUGCCUCUUUUCACUUCUGGGCUCCUUUUAUAGACUCCAGGGAGUAGGAAGUCAUUUAGCUCAUCCCCAGGAUUCUGGGCUGGUGGAACUUUAGGCUGAGUUCCAGACAGGUCACGUUCAUCUGUUCCCAUCGUUAAGCUUUUGGAGAUAGGGAUUUCACUCUUGCCUUGAUAAACCACCUCUGUGUUUAAUAACCCUCCCUUUGGAACUGUUUUCCUGGUUCUAAUCCAAUCCCUUCUGCAAUAAUUUAGCAUUAUGAAAUCUUAGAUCUGGAAAAUAACCUUAAAGUUCAUUGUAUUAAUUUUCCCACAAACUUGAUGGGUUAAACACAUAAAUUUAUCAUCUUACAAAUUCUGUACAUUACAAUUCCAACAGAAGUCAAAAAUUCAACAAGUCAAAAAAAUCAAAGUGACAGCAGGGCUGGAUUCCUUUCUCGAGGCUAUGGGAGGAGAUCUUCUCUUGUCUUCAACUUUGUAGAGGCUAAUGGUUAAUGUAGAGGCCCCCUGGUUUGUGGGCCCUUCCUCCUUCUUCAAAGCCAGCACCGUCGCACCUCUCUGACUCUGACCUCAGCUGGGAAAGGUUCUCUGAGUUUAAGGACACAUGAUUAGAUUGCCACUCCUCCCGACAAUUCAGGAUCAUCUCCCCGUUUUCGGGUCCUUAUCUUAAUCACGUCUCCGGAGUCCCUUUUGCCAUAUCAGGUAAUGUUCACAGGUUCCAGGGAUCAGGACAUGGACAUCUUUGCGAGGCUGUUAUUCUGCCUACCACAGUCACCUCUUCUGACUCUUUGCCUUUUAAAAGAGGGAGUCCCCUGACAGGUGCUCCUCUAACAGUAUUUCCACUGGUGGAGAUGUCACUAUUUCACAAGGCUGCCAAGGGUAAUGUUGACCAACUCUAAAUGUCAGAAAAUUCUUAUGUUCAGUCCCAGUACUUCCCAUACAUAGGUACUGUCUUAAGACGCACAGUAGAAAACCCAAGCUGGUAACCCCACCUGCACAGCCACCACAUGAAGUUCUUAAAAUGUUUGAAGACAACUAGAAGAUUGCCCUUUCAUUCAUUAGUGAAACAAAUUGAGCACCUAUCAUAUGUGGGUGCUAUUCUAGGCUUCAGAGAUACAGUGAUUAAUCAGCCACCCCAAGUCCCUAAUCUCAUAAUGCAUUCUUUCUAGUGAAGGAAGCAGGUGGAUGAGCCAGUAGGCAGCCUUAGCAUUGUCUUAAGUAUCAUCAAAUCAAGGGUACCAAAAGAAUUUUGGAAAGAGUUUGAUAUCUCUUAAAAAUUCAUCUAAAUAACAAUUACCGGGGGGGGGGGGGGGAACUCAUUGGAUUUUGGACACAUAUUUUAUGUUUUAGAAUUGUUUUUAUUUUGAGUUAUAAUGGAGGAGCACCAAAACAUUUUCAGAGCCACAGUCCUCUGAAGAUCCUGUCCUAGCCUUGAGAACAGUUUGUAAUAGAGCAAGCAAAGACGGCUUCCUGGGAAAAGCAGAGCCUUCCAAGAUGAGUAGACUUAGAUAAAUAAAGGCUAGAGGGGAGUACAUUCUAUAAAUUCCUGCCGACACCACAGCAGCCGGAUGAGAGGGAGAAUGCGGCGGAUAAGCCUUGCAUUUUGGGGGUAGGGCUGUGGGGAGGGCGUAAUCUGGGUGUUUCACUCUAGUUGUUACAUGGAAGUCUUCUCAAAGGCUCAGAGAAGACUAGGAAUCAGCCGCAAUGGGGUAGCUCGGUGCCGGCAGCUCCCCAUGCUGUCUGCAAAGGUCUGGUAAAGCAAGAAAGGCCCGAAAGGCAGAUGUUGAGGAUAAGCAAGGCGCUUAGAAGGUGGAAGUGCCCAGUCAGAGGCCAGCUUCUCAAAGGGACGGCAGCCCAAUAGCUAGGAGCAGGGAGGUCUGACCCUGGAGUGCUCCAAAGGAAGGUCUCAAGCUCACAGGCAGCCUCUUCAGAAAUAAGGAGAAGGUGUUCGGGGCACAAGAGCCACUCCAUGCAGCGUCCAUCUCUACAGCUACAAAACCCGGAGCUAAACACCAUUUAGACUGCUGUCACUGAGUUUGCCUGCGUCACUCACAGAGCCCCAGGCUGUGGCAACCUGUAAGAAAAUCUGGAUGAUGCUUCAGCAGGUUCUGGAGAACUCUGACCACCCCCUUCUUUUACUGCCUAUGUCAACUCAGGGGACUUGGGCAUGACUAGUAGCAGAGAUCAGUGGUUCCACGCCCGUAUGGCAAGAGGUUGGUUAUGGAUUAUUUGCGUUGACAGCAGGCAAAAGAAGAGGAGUCAAGGAUGAUGUGCAUGUAGACUCUACAAUGGCCCCAAUUAUCUCUGCCUCCUGUUCAUCACAGAUAACUCAACAAAAGAAUGUUUAAAUACUCAGCUCUACUACAAUGCAAUAUUUGAAUAGAUCCACCACUUCAGCCAGUGUUUGCUAUACUGGCCCCUAAAACAGGCUGCCGACAGAUGGGACAAG